AGAAAAGAGGACACAAGAGCAUGAAUAACAGGAGGAUGGAUAUAGAAUACCAGCAUCAGCAAGUGUACACGAUUUACAGCACAUUUGGUAUCUAUUACCAAGCUGCCCUUCAGAGAGGUUGUCUCUGUUACACGUUCCACAGCUGUGACUGAGAAAGCCUCUUGUCGCAUUUGACAGUCCAGGUUACUGUCUAAAAACUUGAGUUUGUAAAAGCAACACGCCACGAGAUAAUAUUCGUCGCAAAUGUAACUGACAAAAGACUAACAUCCCAUAAUACUAGAGCACCUACAAACCAAGAAGAUAAACAUCCCAUUGGGAAAGUGUAAAAAUAUGAACAUAAAGUUUACAGAAGAAAAAACACAAACGGCUAAUAAACACCCAAAAAGAUGAUAUUGUUUCCUGGUAAUUAGGGAAAUGCAAACAAAAACUACAAUGGAAUAUCAUGAUAUUGUGUAUCAAAUUUGCAGAGCAUAAAAUAGAUUACAUUCGCAAUCAGCAAGUACAACCCAACCUUCAGCCUCAUUGGACUUCUUGCCAUUCCCCCAAACCAUAUCCAUGCCCCUCUCCACAGGCUGUUCCUUCUGCCUGCAUGCCCUCGAUGGCACCAAGGGGGAUGGGCACACUAACACAACUGCUGGGAAUGGGAAAGUUUCCACCUUUUGGGAAUAAAAUCUAACAGUAUUUGUUGGAAUGUAACCUGUGCAUACUCCACAGCUGGGCCACUACCUGCAAGAACCCCUCUAGCUGCUGCACAAAGCUCUUCUCUGCAUCCUUUUUUAUACUAGUGGAACCCUGGACACAGCCUGCAUAGGGAUCAAAAGGGGAGUGGUUAUAAAUAUACUAUGGUCCAUCUCUAGGCUAGACUGUGAUGCAGUGGUUAAAGCCCAGUAUUGCAGAAGAGUGAUUAAGCAUUCGUGCUCCAAAGCCAGAUGGCCUAGGUUUAAAUCCCAGCUUUGCCACUUACUUGCUGUGUGAUCUUGUGCAACUCACUUAGCCUUUCUGUGUCACAGUUUCUCCAAUCUGUAUAAUGGACGAUAACACUAGCCCCUACCUCAUAGGGUCAUUGUGAAGAUUAAAUGAAAUUAAUAUUGCAUAUAUCACAGAGUGAUCCUCCUUGAAAUUUAUUAGAUGAAAAAAGAAAUUUCUAGAAAUUAUCUACACACAUAUUCUGAUGGGAUUUGUGUAAAGAAUUUAACCAACAAACCCAAAUUACACACACAUACACACAGUCACACACACACACUCACACACACACACACUCACGUGCAUGGAGGUAGAUCUAGGAAGAUCCAUGACACACAUGCGAGGCAGGUGGAAUGGGGACAUUAAAAGGAGGACUUCCACGUUUAAUUCUGAAUGGUUUGACUAUUUUCUUUGUGCAAUUUUAAAAAAUCAAAGCAAUAAAUCACUGUAAAAGAAA
rnacentral:antisense_RNA from 1 species